rnacentral:rRNA from 1 species
AUAUCAAUAAGCGGAGGAAAAGAAAUUAACUAAGAUUGCCUCAGUAACGGCGAGUGAACAGGGAACAGCUCAGCAUGGAAAUCGGGGCCUCUGGCCUUGACGUGUAGUCUGGAGAUGUACUGCCAACGGAGGCGCAGGUGUAAGCCUCUUGGAAAAGAGCACCAGCGAGGGUGAGAGUCCCGCUCUGUCAUCUGCCGUCCUCCGUGUACGGUGUACAUUCUAAGAGUCACGUUCCUCGGGAUUGGAGCGCAAAGUUGGUGGUAAAUUCCAUCCAAAGCUAAAUAUUGACUCGAGACCGAUAGCGCACAAGUA